rnacentral:sRNA from 1 species
UGGCAGCAACAGAAAUUGAAUUUCUGACUGCAUCCACAGUCCAGGUAUAUUUCAGACAGAUGCUCCCAUUCGCUGACUGCCCUGCCAACGACCUUAACCCUGAUUUGGAAGGACAACUCAAUCUACUAUAAAGAGGAAAGGUGAUUUAGUCUCCAGUCCUGCUGGCAGAGUCUUGG